rnacentral:rRNA from 1 species
AGCCUGAUGCAGCAACGCCGCGUGAGGGACGACGGCCUUCGGGUUGUAAACCUCUUUUAGCAAGGAAGAAGCGAAAGUGACGGUACUUGCAGAAAAAGCACCGGCUAACUACGUGCCAGCAGCCGCGGUAAUACGUAGGGUGCAAGCGUUAUCCGGAAUUAUUGGGCGUAAAGAGCUCGUAGGCGGUUUGUCGCGUCUGCUGUGAAAUCUGGGGGCUCAACCCCCAGCCUGCAGUGGGUACGGGCAGACUAGAGUGCGGUAGGGGAGAUUGGAAUUCCUGGUGUAGCGGUGGAAUGCGCAGAUAUCAGGAGGAACACCGAUGGCGAAGGCAGAUCUCUGGGCCGUAACUGACGCUGAGGAGCGAAAGGGUGGGGAGCAAACAGGCUUAGAUACCCUGGUAGUCCACCCCGUAAACGUUGGGAACUAGUUGUGGGGUCCAUUCCACGGAUUCCGUGACGCAGCUAACGCAUUAAGUUCCCCGCCUGGGGAGUACGGCCGCAAGGCUAAAACUCAAAGGAAUUGACGGGGACCCGCACAAGCGGCGGAGCAUGCGGAUUAAUUCGAUGCAACGCGAAGAACCUUACCAAGGCUUGACAUAUACGAGAACGGGCUAGAAAUAGUCAACUCUUUGGACA